UACGUAGGUGGCAGGCGUUGUCCGGAUUUACUGGGCGUAAAGAGCGCGUAGGCGGCUUUGUACGUCGGAUGUGAAAGCCCUGGGCUUAACCUGGGAAUUGCAUUCGAUACUGCUUAGCUAGAGUAUGGUAGAGGGAAGUGGAAUUUCCGGUGUAGCGGUGAAAUGCGUAGAUAUCGGAAGGAACACCAGUGGCGAAGGCGACUUCCUGGGCACCAACUGACGCUGAGACGCGAAAGCGUGGGGAGCAAACAGG
rnacentral:rRNA from 1 species